CAUCUUCGGGUCACAUCGAAGAUCAAAGCCGGGGACCGUAAGGCCUGGCGCUUGAAGAGGAGCCCGCGUCCGAUUAGCUAGUUGGCGGGGUAAUGGCCCACCAAGGCUCCGAUCGGUAGCCGGCCUGAGAGGGCGGACGGCCACACUGGGACUGAGACACGGCCCAGACUCCUACGGGAGGCAGCAGUGGGGAAUUUUUCGCAAUGGGCGAAAGCCUGACGAAGCAACGCCGCGUGGGGGAUGAAGGUCUUCGGAUCGUAAACCCCUGUCGAUCGGGACGAAAGCACCCGACCUAACACGUCGGAGUGUUGACUGUACCGGUGGAGGAAGCCACGGCUAACUCUGUGCCAGCAGCCGCGGUAAUACAGAGGUGGCAAGCGUUGUUCGGAAUUACUGGGCU
rnacentral:rRNA from 1 species